GGCUCUCGGGCCAGCCGGGCCCGGAGCAGGGCCGGGCUGCCCCUGAUCUCUGGUGGAAGGGGCUGGAGAGCGGAGCGGCGGCUGCAGAGUCGGGGCCGGCAGUGGGGCUGGAGAAGAGAGCCUAGUCGAACCGAUCCUAGCCAGCUUGGCAGGUUCGCGCAAGGCAGGGCGGGGCUGGUCACGGCCGGUCACGGCCGGUCAGGGUUGGCCCAGGGCUGGGGGAGAUUCGGGGGCUAUGGGCGCAGGAGAAGAGACCUAAAGCAGGAGGCUCCGCGCGCGGCCCGGUCGGCCGGGUAUGGGCACCGAGCGCUGCCCCUGGCCUGGCCCCAGCCCCAGCCCCAGUCCCAGCCCCGGUUCGGACUCCUGCCCCUGGCGCCUUUGUAAUUCCCCUGCCGCUGCACCACAAAGAGCCCGCCCCGCCACCCGAGAGCUGGGAGAAGGUGGUGAAUUGAGCACAGUCACGAGCAGAUGGCUUCCUCCGAUCCGUCUCCUCAGCCCGCAGUAGGAGACCAGCUAGCUCAGGAUGUCCCAGGGACUUCCCCGAGGCUGAGGAGGACCCAGGAGAGGCUUUUGAGUUUGAUGACAGUGAUGAAGAGGAAGAGAACCCAAAACGGGUCCGGAGAAGGAUGGAGAACCCCCCCUGAUCUGCUUUUGAUGUACUGCCCCCAUCACUGAUCCUGCAGCUGCCCAGCCC